CCCUCCCUCCCAGGCCCUCCCACCUCCUGGACAGCAUUCAUUUUGAAGUUGCAUUCUUAGUGAGCUGUCCAGGAGGUGGGAGGGUCUGGGAGGGAGGG
rnacentral:miRNA from 1 species